rnacentral:lncRNA from 10 species
CCGGCCAAGACAUUUUAAUCUUAAGUGAAUAGUCCAGAGAAUCAUGUCCCCUGACACACAAGUCCAGCUGUUUAUUUCAGGUUGGCAGUUUGCUUUAUUACUUUCAUACCAGAUGAAUUGCAAAGAUUAAUUAUUAUUGCUAACCUCUUAAAGAUUAAAAGCACUACACUGGUGUUAGGCAUUGUUUCAUGUUUUCUGGAGCCAUAUGAUUCAGAGAAACCCCCAAAGUGUGAUUUAUUCCCUUUUUCUUACAGGACAGUGCAGUGGACAGAGCAAGAGUUUGGCAUCAGACCUACCAGGGUCCACAUUCCAGCCCUCCCUGAGUAGGGUGUGUCAUUAGGCAAAUUAUUUAAACUCCUGAAUCUCAGUUUUCUCAUCUGCAAAAUGGAGACAAAAAUAUCCAUUAAAAGGACUGCUAAGAAUUAAAUGUGAUUGCUUAAAGCAGUGAUUCUCUGGACCAGCUGCAUCAGCAUCUUCUGAGAACUUCUUAAAAUGCAAAAUCUCAGGCUCCAACCUAGACCUACGAAAUCAGAAGUGCCGAGACCAGCUCGGUCAGGGAGACCCUAACCCAGCAGCACUAGGGGAAUUAAAGACACACACACAGAAAUAUAGAGGUGUGAAGUGGGAAACCAGGAGUCUCACAGUUUUCAGAGCUGAGAGCCCCGAACAGAGAUUUACCCACGUAUUUAUUUACAGCAAGCCAGUCAUUAGCAUUGUUUCUAUGGAUAUUCAAUUAACUAAAAAGUGAGAAACGAAGGGAUGGGCCGAAUUAAAGGAAUAGGUUGGGAUAGUUAACUGCAGCAGGAGCAUGUUCUUAAGGCACAGAUCGCUCAUGCUAUUGUUUGUAGCUUAAGAACGCCUUCAAGCAUUUUCCGCCCUGGGCAGGCCAGGUGUUCCUUGCCCUCAUUCCCAUAAAAUCACAAUCUUCCAGCUUGGGCGUUAGGGCCAUUAUGAACACGUUACAGUGCUGCAGAGAUUUUGUUUAUGGCCAGUUUUGGGGCCAGUUUAUGGCCAGAUUUUGGGGGGCCUGCUCCCAACACAGAAGUUCUGGGGGUGGGGCCCAGCAAUCUGUGGUUUUUUGUUUUUUGAGACAGGGUCUCGCUCUGUCACCCAGGCUGGAGUGCAGUGGUGCUGUGUCCGGAAUUGGUGGGUUCUUGGUCUCACUGACUUCAAGAAUGAAGCCGCGGACCCUCACGGUGAGUGUUACAGCCCUUAAGGUGGCACGUCUGGAGUUUGUUCCUUCUGAUGUUCGGAUGUGUUUGGAGUUUCUUCCUUCUGGUGGGUUCGUGGACUCCCUGGCUCAGGAGUGAAGCUGCAGACCUUUGCGGUGAGUGUUACAGCUCUUAAGGCAGUGCGUCUGGAAUUGUUCGUUCCUCCCAGUGGGCUCGUGGUCUCGCUGGCUUCAGGAGUAAAGCUGCAGACCUUCACAGUGAGUGUUACAGCUCAUAAAAGCAGUGUGGACCCAAAGAGUGAGCGGUAGCAAGAUUUAUUGCAAAGAGCAAAAGAACAAAGCUUCCACAGUGUGGAAGGGCACCCAAGCAGGUUGCCACUGCUGGCUCAGGCAGCCUGCUUUUAUUCUCUUAUCUGGCCCCACCCACAUCCUGCUGAUUGGUAGAGCCGAGUGGUCUGUUUUGACAGGGCACUGAUUGGUGCAUUUACAAUCCCAAUGCGUUUACAAUCCCAGAGCUAGACUCAAAGGUUCUCCACCUCCUCACUAGAUGGGCUAGAUACAGAGUGUCCACACAAAGGUUCUCCAAGUCCCCACCAGAGUAGUUAGAUACAGAUUGUGGAUUGGUGCAUUCACAAACCCUGAGCUAGACACAGGGUGCUGAUUGGUGUGUUUACAAACCUUGAGCUAGAUACAGAGUGCCGAUUGGUGUAUUUACAAUCCCUGGGCUAGACAUAAAGGUUCUCCACGUCCCCACCAGACUCAGGAGCCCAGCUGGCUUCACCCAGUGGAUCCCACAUCAGGGCUGCAGGUGGAGCUGCCUGCCAGUCCCACGCUGUGCGCCCACACUCCCCAGCCCUUGGGUGGUCAAUGGAACUGGGCACCAUGGAGCAGGGGGCGGUGCUCAUCGGGGAGGCUCCGGACACACCGGGGAGGCUUGGGAGCCCACGGAGGGGGUGGGAGGCUCCGGACACACCGGGGAGGCUUGGGAGCCCAUGGAGGGGGUGGGAGGCUCAGGCAUGAUGGGCUGCCGGUCCCGAGCCCUGCCCCGUGGGAAGGCAGCUAAGGCC